rnacentral:rRNA from 1 species
UUCUCGUGACGUGAGUGGCGCACGGGUGAGUAACACGUGGGAAACCUACCCUUCAGCGGGGGAUAACCAUCGGAAACGACGACUAAUACCGCAUAGACGACAGAACCGCCUGGUUCAAUCGGGAAAGACGGCUUCGGCUGUCACUGAAGGAUGGUCCCGCGCUGCAUUAGCUAGUUGGUAAGGUAACGGCUUACCAAGGCGAUGAUGCAUAGCCGACCUGAGAGGGUGAUCGGCCACAUUGGGACUGAGACACGGCCCAAACUCCUACGGGAGGCAGCAGUAGGGAAUCUUCCGCAAUGGACGCAAGUCUGACGGAGCAACGCCGCGUGUGUGAAGAGGGUUUUCGGAUCGUAAAGCACUGUUAUUAGAGAAGAACAGCCGAUAGAGUAACUGUUAUCGGUUUGACGGUAUCUAACCAGAAAGUGACGGCUAACUACGUGCCAGCAGCCGCGGUAAUACGUAGGUCACAAGCGUUGUCCGGAUUUAUUGGGCGUAAAGGGAGCGCAGGCGGUUUGUUAAGUCUGAUGUGAAAGCCCACGGCUCAACCGUGGAACGGCAUUGGAAACUGGCAAACUUGAGUAUAGAAGAGGAAAGUGGAAUUCCAUGUGUAGCGGUGAAAUGCGUAGAUAUAUGGAGGAACACCAGUGGCGAAGGCGACUUUCUGGUCUAUAACUGACGCUGAGGCUCGAAAGCGUGGGGAGCGAACAGGAUUAGAUACCCUGGUAGUCC